UACGUAGGUCUCGAGCGUUGUCCGGAUUUAUUGGGCGUAAAGCGAGCGCAGGUGGUUUAUUAAGUCUGGUGUAAAAGGCAGUGGCUCAACCAUUGUAUGCAUUGGAAACUGGUAGACUUGAGUGCAGGAGAGGAGAGUGGAAUUCCAUGUGUAGCGGUGAAAUGCGUAGAUAUAUGGAGGAACACCGGUGGCGAAAGCGGCUCUCUGGCCUGUAACUGACACUGAGGCUCGAAAGCGUGGGUAGCAAACAGG
rnacentral:rRNA from 1 species